rnacentral:rRNA from 1 species
CAGUAGCCGCGGGAAUACGUAGGUGGCAAGCGUUGUCCGGAAUUAUUGGGCGUAAAGGGCCCGCAGGCGGUUUCUUAAGUCUGAUGUGAAAGCCCCCGGCUCAACCGGGGAGGGUCAUUGGAAACUGGGAAACUUGAGUGCAGAAGAGGAGAGUGGAAUUCCACGUGUAGCGGUGAAAUGCGUAGAGAUGUGGAGGAACACCAGUGGCGAAGGCGACUCUCUGGUCUGUAACUGACGCUGAGGAGCGGAAGCGUGGGGAGCGAACAGGAUUAGAUACCCCUGUAGUCCCUGUCUCUUAUAC